UUUUAGUACAAUAUACUUAAGCGGUUGUAUUUUAAUUACUUGUAUAUUUUUUGUAAAAACGUUUUGCCUGAUAAUGUAUACCUUCUUUGUACAUAUGUAUGUGUGUUGUACAUGAGUUGUUGUCAGCUACAGACUGGACAUGUGACACUUGACGGACUUUGACCAAGUUGUUAAAUGGUUGAAGGUUUCUGCCUUGUGGGUUUCUUUUUUUUGUCCCUAGUACUUCGGUACAUUUGAAUUCUAUCUCUCCAAGUGAACGAUUCAAUUAUUUUGUCAGUACAACUGAAUAUUUGCAUUAUGGCAUUUGCACCUGCUUUUGUGGUGACAGAAUGAUGUGGUGUCAUCUGUGCUGUCGUGUGUAACAUUAAUACACGAUACGUGUUAAUCUCUCUCUUUUAAUAGAGGUAAACAAAUUGAACCCAGUAGCUUUGUGAUGAUCAUACUGCUGCAAAUGGCGCCCAUCUAGGGACCCAAUGUUGAUCGAGGGUCCAGGGUACUUUGUAUUUAUCAUAACACAAUGACUAAACACAGUGUUUACUUGGGGUUGACCGAAAUAUUUAUUUCAUCGUAAAGUGGUUUUCCAUAGUUAGUACUUCGCGUUAAUAUCCAUUACAAAAGAUAGUUCCUAAUCAACAUACAGAAGCAUCCUCAGGUUCUAUCAGUUACCCGUCCAUAUUAAAGUGUUCCAUACAAAUGUCCUUGGGCCGACUUAGCCAGGGCCCGCUCCAUCGCAGAGCAAGUCCCAUACAGGACUCUGCCUGUCUCCACAACCAACUCCCAACUCUCUCUAGCUUCUUGAUCCCAGACUGACUUCUGCUGGUUAUUAUUAUAGUAUAGAUAAUACCCAAAUAUUUAAUUUCAGCCCAGUACAUAUUGGACACCAAUAAUCCAGCCCCCGGAGCAUCUAAUUAUUAAGGCACAUGCGACUAGGAGUACCCGUCACCAAUUUCCCAUCUUUGAUCUACCUUAUACAUUGUUUCUUAUCUUGUUUACUUACAAAUACGUUCGCCAGCAGGAGGCAGACAGGAGAGAGCAUCUACCUGUUCAGAUCACUCAUACCAGCGAUAUUCUGCCAUGGUGUUUCAACACUGAGGUGCACACGCCUCCCGUUAUCAGGCGUGCAUCACUACCUGUCACUCACAGGUCGUUAAGCCUGGUCCAGUGCCUGACUUAUGAUACCUGUUCUUAUUGCUCCCUGAGAUACCUUUUGUACUUUAAUUUCUGACCCAAAAUGUACUUUUACUAUCCAUUUUGUUACAUUAUUGACGUGAUCGUCGGAACCAAAUUCCACUGGAACUUUUUACCUGGGGUACAUCUGUUGGAAGACACCACUACCAGAUGAUGUUGACAGUUACACAAGUGUUUCCUUUAGGCCGAUAGGCUACCGUGGACACAUUUCUUCACUAGUGUUGUUUACCUGGAAUUUUGACCUGUACUGAAGAUGGACAAUAAACUGUGACACUCCUGCAGUAAGCGUUUCAGCAACACCACAAUCCAGUGGAGAUGUGCUGUAUGCAACAAGUCCACGUGAUGCCACACUUUGAUGAGCCAGGGAAGGACCAAUUUUACCCCUGGAUCUGCAAAGCACAUUUACCCUCUCCUAUCACUCAGUGGUCACACAUGUCAUCUAGAAUCAGAUAUGUGAAGAUGCCAAUGCACAGAUAAUUGUUCUGGAGCGGUGUGUGGUCGACAACAAAUUGGUGUAUUCAUCGACAAUCUGGUUAUACAAACAACGAUAUGAUGGGUGGUCCUGAGGCCGGUUGUCUCCCCUACAUAGAUGGAUGUUAGGAUCUAGCUGACCUCUCCUGUAGUCAGACUUCCAAGCGGACCUGGACUUUUUCGCAUGCUGCUUGUGCUGUUCUGCUAACAACAACAUACUUCUUUUCUUGACAGCAGGAGCUCCAACACCAACAUCUCGUCCUCCGAUGUCAUUCGAAGUUGAUUGAUCUGGUUCGAACUAAGGAACAUUGAUCGCACCCACCAGUUGUCACUGUCACCACCAGAGCACACCAUGGAAUGCUGCUUGCACUUAGAACAGUCACCUGUGUAGCAGGAUACAGUAGCAUCUAACACUGCAGGAGUAAUUAGCAUUCCAGAUUAAAUACCAGCCAGGCAGCCACCUUCUCGACGUUGACGCUUGUCAAAGUGAUUUAACAUAACACAAAACAAUUUCUGAAAAGAGGAGGCCUCCACUUGGCAGAACUGGUAACGUAGCACCAACAUCUAGUCCUCAGGUGUCAUUUGAAGAUGGAGAUGGCUAAAACUUGGGACCAUCGAGCAUACCAGGAAUGCUGUCUACACUUGGAACAGUCUCCAGAGUAGCAGAUCCUGGCUGUACCAGAACAGAAAACAGAGCUUGUGUUCACUGGAUUUGGUCCCAGUAGGAAGGACAUUUUCUGGACUGGGAUAAAGAUGUGGUAUAAAGGAUAGUGAGAGGGAUGACAGUUUCACCUUGCCUUCACAAGAUAAGACACAUGAGGCACUGAGGAAGGUGGCAGUCUCAUUUUACCAUUUGGGUUUGAUAAAUUGAGAGAUAGCUGUCUGGCCUCUUUCCAGAAUUUAAAACCAACUGUAUGAUGAUGGGAACAGACAGUUAACACCCUUUGUAUUUAAUUACUACAAUUAUAUAAUGAUGUAUGCAGCACAGUAUCUUGAGACUUCAUUGUGUGAGGUCUUUUCUGAUGGAAGUCAAAGUCAGAGUAGUGAUGAUUUGUGAUCCUGAGGCCGAUUAUCUCCCUUAGACUGAUGAACAGUUAGACUUUUAGGUAGACAAUGUAAUUUGUGGAAUGGUGUUGUGUCUGUGAUGCCUGUGUGAAUAAAUAUGCAAUAUACAUUAAGAAGGAUAAUUUCUAAAGAUUUUCCUGGAAUCUUCUCUUUUUCAGAUUGUUUUAUAUUUUCCCUUGGGAUAUUGUGUAUUUGUAAUUUUUACAGUUUUUGUUCUUUUUAUGUAAUUAACAUUUUUGUAUUUUUU